CCAGUCCCAGGCCUGAGUAAAUGCUCCAGGCUUGUUGGUGAGGAGAAGGGGCCGCGGCCCCUGCCAGCUCCGGAACCCACUCCCUCCCUGCACAUAUUAUGUAGCAUCACAACGUCCAUUGCUCAGGCUCUGCUGUCUGUGAGUCUGGCCUUGCCUUUCCUGAUGAGAAACAAAAGAAGGGGAGUGAGAGAGAAGGAAGGAGUAUGGCAUUGUGGUUAAAUCCAUUGCUCUGAUGUCCAGCAAAAUUCAGACUCAGCCACUUACCAAAUGAGGGACUACGGUUACCUGCUACUCACUGGAGUUCAGAGAGAGGCAAUGGUGUGAAGCUGAGCGCGGCCAUCCAGACAGGUGUUCGCCAGCAUCAGCAUCACCUGGAUGCUUGUUACACCUGGGCUCCACUCCAGACCUAUGGAACCAGAAUCUCCAGGAAUCUGUAUCUUAACAAACUUUCCAGGUGACUUUUAUGAACCUGGGUUUGAGAAGCAUGACUCCAUGAUCACAGAUAGGCCUGAAGUCAUCCAUAGUGUAGGCAGUGAUAAGAUUGAUGAGAGCACCCCAUCAUGUGCCUGAAAGGGCUUUGCAACACAUCAAACAACGGGCAGUGGUUGGAAUGGGUCAGCCUUGGGAGAUCAGCACUGAAGCUGGAGCCUAGACACCCAUCUGCCAGGUGCAGGGAAGGCAAGACUGUUGGGGUUUUAAAUAGGAUCUCUGGGCUGUGUCCUGAAGGGAAAAUAAUAAUAAUAGCUACCAAGAAUCUUUAUUUAGCAUCAAGAAUCUUCUAAGAAUC